CCCGGGCUUGAGGUGCUGUUGGGCGACCGCCAGGCGGCUGGAAGAAUCGGUUUCGCGUUUUGGGAACGGUCUAACACCUGGGGCUGGGGAGGGCUACCGGGAGGAAGAGAAUCCGGGUGAGGCGCCGAUUUCAGAAAUGCCUGAAAAGGGUGAAGCCCACCCUGGAGCGACGACAGUGGGGACCGCUGGAGCGAUGACAGUGGGGACCGCUGGAGCGAUGACAGUGGGGACCGCUGGAGCGAUGCUGGGGACUGGCCUCCACGACCUGGAGGGAGGAGGGAGCGGCGAGGCGAGGAGCUGCGGGCACCCUGAACCCUCAGUCCUCGAGGUACUCACUGGAUUGCAGUGGUGUGAUCUUGGCUUACUACAACCUCUGACUCCCAGACUCAAGCCGUCCUCCCAUCUCAGCCUCCAGAGUGACCGGGACUACAGGCGGUGCACCAACAUACCCAGAGAUGGGUCUCACUGUGUUGCCGAGGCUGUUCUCAAAUUCCUGAACUCAAGCAGUCCAUCUGCCUCGGCUUUCCAAAGUGUUGAGACUACAGACAGGAGCCACCAUGCCUGACUCCUAAAUUUUAAACUGCAACCAUUAUGACCUUUUACCCCUUCAGCAACUACCUCAAAGAACAAGAGCAUUCUCUUUACAAUCAUAAUACUGUUAUUAUUAUACAUUCAAUAAAUUUGAGAGUGAUGUAGUAUUUAAUAUACAGGGCUUAUUAAAAUCUCCUCAAUAAUUUCCUUUUUUUUUUUUUUAAAGACGGGGUUUCACCAUGUUGGUCAUGCUGGUCUUGAACUCCUGACCUCAGGUGAUCCGCCCGCCUUGGUCUCCAAAGUGCUUGGAUUACAGGCGUGAGCCUCUGUGCCUGGCUCAAUGUCUUACACUUUGGGUUUAUCAGGUUUUUUCCUUAUCCUUAUUGUUAUAUUCAGUUUAAACAUUUUGGGUAAACUUUUCGGUGAUGUUGUGUCCUCAGUAUGAUGUCAGUUUGUCUCUUUUUUUGAUGAUAUGAAGUUUCAUCAUUUGAUGAAAGCCCUAGUUUCUCUAGAAUUCACUCUAAUCAGGUUUUGUUCCCUCUGUUUCAUCAAAACUGUUAUUAGGGUCACCAGUUACCUCUACAAAUAAAAUGGUCAGUUCUCAGACCUCACACCCCACUUGGCUUAGUAGUAAUUGACACAAUAGAUCACUUUUUGUCCUCAUUGGAGCACUAUCUUCUUUUGACUUCCAGAUUAUCACAUAUGUCUGGCUUUCUUCUUCUAUGUCUGUGUCUUCUCAGUCUUCUUUGGAGCUGUCUGUUAGUCCCUAAACUCUAAAUGUUGAGAUGUUGAGUGCCUCAGUCCUUGAAUUUCUAAUUUCUUUCUUUUCUUUUUUCUUUCUCUUUUUUUUUUUUUGAGACAGAGUUUCGCUCUUGUUGACCAGGCUAUAGUGCAAUGGUGUUAUCUUGGCUCACUGCAACCUCCACCUCCCAGGUUCAAACGAUUCUCCUGCCUCAGCCUCCCAAGUAGCUGGGAUUACAGGCAUGCACCACCACGCCUGGCUAAUUUUGUAUUGUUUGUAGAGAUGGGGUUUCUCCAUGUUGGUCAGGCUGGUCUCAAACUCCUGACCUCAGGUGAUCCACCUGCCUCAGCCUCCCAAUGUGCUGGGAUUACAGGCGUGAGCCACCAUGUCCAGCCCUCCUCUCUAAUUUCUAUCAACACCUACUUUCUUGGUGAUCUCAGCUAGGUUUUUUUUUUUUGAGAUGGAGUUUCACUGUUGUUACGCAGACUGGAGUGCAAUGGCACGGUCUUGGCUCACCGCAACCUCCGCCUCCUGGGUUCAAGCAAUUCUCCUGCCUCAGCCUCCCGAGUAGCUGGGACUACAGGCGCGCACCACCAUGCCCAGCUAAUUUUUGUAUUUUUAGUAGAGAUGGGGUUUCACCUUGUUGACCAGGAUGGUCUCGAUCUCUUGACCUCGUGAUCCACCCGCCUCAGCCUCCCAAAGUGCUGGGAUUAUAGGCAUGAGCCACCGCACCUGGCCUCUCAGCUAGGUUUUAUUUGUUUGUUUUUGUUUUUUUGAGACGGAGCCUUGCUCUGUUGCCAGGCUGGAGUGGAGUGGCAUGAUCCUGGCUCACUGCAACCUCUGCCUCCCAGGUUCAAGCAAUUCUCCUGCCUCAGCUUCCUGAGUAGCUGGGACUACAGGCACGCGCCACCACGCCCAGCUAAUUUUUCUAUUUUUUAGUAGAGAUGGGGUUUCACCAUGUUGGCCAGGAUGGUCUUGAUCUCUUGACCUUGUGAUCCACCCACCUUGGCCUCCUAAAGUGCUGGGAUUACAGGCAUGAGCCACCACAUCUGGCCGUCUCAGCUAGUUUUAAGACCAUGCUGAUGACUUCCAGAUUUGUAUCUCCAGCCCAAACCUCUUUCCUUAAUCCCAGGUUCAAAUCCAAAAGUCUACUUGACAUCACUAAAAAGUCCAAUUAAGCAUCUCAAUUUUAACAUGUCCAAAACUGAGCCCUUAUAUUCCCCAAACCUGUUUCUCUCACAGUCUUCCCUAUGUCAAGCAAUAGGAACUUCAUGCAGUUACUCAGAUGAAAACCCUGGCCCCAUUAAGCCCUUGCUUUAUUUUUCUCAUGCCUACACCCAUCAGCAAGUCCUAGCCAUCCUCCUAUCAUUGUAAUAAAAUAUCCAGAAUGCCGCUUUGCACACCUCCACUGCCACCACCCAAGUCCAAACCACUACAUCAUGCUGCACUUAGGUUACUGCAAUAGCUUAACUGGUUUUCCUUUCUGCUCUACCCUUAUUGCCUUCAGUCUAUUCUCCAGACAGCAGCUGGAGUGAUUUUGUUAAAACAUAAGUCAGACCAUUUAUCCUUCUGCUCAAAACUCCAGAGGUUUCCCAUCUCACUGUGUCCUUGCAGGACCUAUAAAGCACUACAUGCUCUGACUCCCAUUAUAUCUCUGGUUUCCCACGGUGCUUCUCAUUUGCUCCACUGUGGCAUGCUCCAACGUAGAACAUACCAGGCUGGCUUCUCUAAUGGGACCCCUAAUAGAACCUGAAGUACUCUUCUCUCACCUCUGUGUGGCUUACUCUCAUUUUUUUCAGGACUUGACUUGAAAGAUACCUCAACGAUGCCUCCCCUGGCUAGCCUAACUGCCAACAUCUCCCCCACUGCCACCCAAGACAGUUGUUAUCCACAUUCUGUUUUUUCUUUUUAGCACUUACUACUCCUGAUAAACUAUGUACAGAUGGUCUCAAGUUAUGAUGGUUAGACCUACAAUUUUUCAACUUUACGAUGAUGCAAAAGUGACAUGCAUUCAGUAGAAACUGUCCUUGGAGUGCCCCUACAACCAUUCUCUUUGUCACUUUCAGUUUAGUAUUCAUGAGCUAUUCAACAUUUUAUUUAAAAAAUAGGCUGGGUGCAGUGGCUCAGGCCUGUAGUCUCAGCACUUUGAGAGGCUGAGGUGGGAGGAUCACAAGUUUAGGAGUUCGAGACCAGCCUGGCCAAAAUGGUGAAACCCCAUCUCUACUAAAAAAAAAGUACAAAAAUUAGUUGGGCAUGGUGGUGUGCACCUGUAAUUGCAGCUACAUGGAAGGCUGAGGCAGGAGAAUUGCUUGAACCCAGGAGGCAGAGGUUGCAGUGAGCCGAGAUUGUGCUAUUGCACUCCAGCCUGGGCGACAGAGCAAGACUCCAUCUCAAAAAAAAAAAAACAAAAAAACCUGUUUGAUGGUUUUGCUAACGUUAAUUGUUCUGAGCACUUUUUUUUUUUUUUGAGACAGGAUCUCACUCUGUCACCCAGGCUGGAGUGCAGUGGUAAGAUCUCGGCUCACUGCAACCUCCACUUCCCGGGUUCAAGCACAUCUCCUGCCUCAGCCUCCUAACUGGGAUUACAGGUGUGUGUCACCACACCCAGCUAAUUUUUGUAUUUUUAGUAGACAGUUUCACCAUGUUGGCCGGGCUGGUCUUGAACUCCUGACUUCAAGUGAUCUGCCCAUCUCAGCCUCCCAAAGUGUUGGGAUUUCAGGCGUGAGCCACUGCACCCAGCCAGGCCUUGUUUUUGCAUCUGCUUUCAUUUAAUCCUCAAAAUACCAGAUCAGUUACCAUAUAUUAAGGUUACAGAAGCUUAACGUUGACAUAGAGGCAAGCAGAACCACUCAUUCAUUCUAGCACUAAUUCGACAGAUUUUUAUUCAGACUCACUAGAUAUCAGCACGGGGAGUAUAAUGGGAAAUAGAGCAAACCCCCGUUCUUGCAGUAUAAUAGUGGGAGCAGUCAGUAAAAUAGUAGACAAAUGGCCAGGCACGUUGGCUCACACCUGUAAUCCCAGCACUCUGGGAGGCCGAGGCGGGUGGACCACCUGAGGUCAGGAGUUCGAGACCAGCCUGAUCAAAAUGGUGAAACCCUAUCUCUACUAAAAAUACAAAAAUUAGGCUGGAGGGAGUGGCUCAUGCCUGUUAAUUCCAGCACUUUGGGAGGCCCAGGCAGGCAGAUCACUUGAAGUUGGGAGUUGGAGAACAAGCCUGGCCAACAUGGUAAAACUGGGCAUGGUGGCAGGCACCUGUAAUCCCAGCUACUUGGGAGGCUGAGGCAGGAGAAUCGCUUAAGGAGGCGGUUUCAGUGAGCCAAGAUCAUGCCAUUGCACUCCGGCCUGGGCAACAAGAUCGAAACUCCAUCUCAAAAAAAAAAAAAAAAGCAAGCAAGCAAGAAAAAGAAAAUAGCAGCUUGCAUUAGGGUAGUAGUUGUGUUAAGUGGAAAGUUGUGGAUGCCUUUUUGGAGGAAGAGCCUAAGAACAGGUGAUGGAUGAGAAGGGAAUUAGGGGGUAGGUUAUGACUGAGCAGGUGAUGAGCAGCAUGGUUUUGCAUAUAGGCUUUUCUUGUGAUCUCUAAAACAUCACCUUCAAUCCUAAUUUUGUUUCCUACCCCCACCCACCAUGUUUCUCCCACUGCCAAGACUUCAACUUCUACAAUCCCUGGCAAAUUAACUGCUCUAAUUUAUUCUACACUAUCACUUAAGAGAAUGGCCUUGGAUUUAGCCUAUCUGGAGACAAAGUCUACCUCCUCCAUUUGCCGUUUCUUAACCUGUAAAAUAGAGCAUAAAACAGUACCCACUUCAUAGGGUUGCUGAGAAUUAAAUCUUGAGUUCCAGCAUACUUUUGCAUCCUCAGCAUUCGGGAGGCCCUCAAGGUAUUUGCAAAUUUGAAUGUAUUUCCUCUUAAAGAUUCUAGACUGUCAAGAAGAGCAAGAGCUUGGGCAUUGUGCAAGCACUUAUCUGUAAUAACUACGAUUCCCCCUAUUUGGUUAAUGUUUUCAAAUUCCUAAAGAUUCUUCCAGUUGUAGUAUUCCUGACUUUCCUAAGACAUUUACCUGAAUUUUUAACUUAAAAUAUAAUUUUCUGGGGUUUUUCAUCUGUCAACUUAGACUUUAGGGAACUUUUCUGAAAUCUUAAAAGGUGUUUAUUGGCUAUUUAAGUUACUUUGCUAUUCAAAAGCUGAAACAAAGUGGUGAUUUUACCUAGUCUCCAUACAUUUUGAGCUUAAUUCCAAUCCACUUUAGUUUUUCUCUCUGGGUGGAACUGUCAUAUACCAGCUCUGAAGCAUCAUAGGAAAGAGGAUUAUCAGCCUAAUCAUUUCUGAGCCAGGGAUCAAUGAGCUGGCAGAUCCGCACCGGAGUCAAAGGAUAGCCCUGAGCUCAAAACUACUAAGCAUAUUGGUCAGGUCCUUCGUCAGUUAAAAAUGUCUUCCCAAAUUCCACUGCCUCAUUUGUAAGUAUUAACAAGUUACCUACUUUCUAGGAAUACAUGCCCAAUAUUAACACAGCAUUAUGAGGCAAAUUCAAUAAAUUGACCAGACAUCUGUGUACAUACACUGAGUGCCAAGUUCAUCUUUGUACUUUUUUCCAUUUUAUAAUGUACAACUUACUGUCUUAUACCUGGACAAUGACCACAUAGUACUAAUUAUCUGUUUAAACGAAUUGAAAUUUUGCUUUAAAAAAAAAAUUAACUGUUAACAACCACUCAUGGGGCAAUAAAAAAUGUACUUUUAGCACACAAAAACUUUUAGAGAAUUUAGGAUUCCAAGAACUCAAAGGACUGUAUCAUCCACUUGUAAAUAACUGGUCCUUAUCAGAUUCCAGCAGGUAAUAUUAACUUCCUCCCUUAAUGGGGACACCAACUUUUUCUUCUGAGUGUUUUUCAUGAAAAGGCCUACCAUUUGGUCCUUUGCACUGAAAAACUGGACUAAACAGAGAAUAUUCAACUACUGAGAAAAUACCAACCGUUAUCAGUACCUCCCCAUAUAGGCAAAAGAUCAUGCUGAAAACUGGGAUGCAUGCUAACAAACUUAGGCUCUUAGAAUUCUCCCAUUAAAGAAUUUUACACUCACCUAUAGUUGAAAGAUUAAGUUAUCGCUAAAAUGUUUAACAGCAGUAAAAAUGCAAGCCCAAUGUUGUAUCUUAUUGACACGAAGUCUAUUCUUAGCACAGUGAUUAACAUUUCAUCACUUCUGGGGCAGUUUCAAACACUCAAACAUUACAACUAAUGGGAUCGUUAAAAGUUUUAAGAAGGUUAUUAUCAUCCUCAUUUCACAUUAAUCAUACCAAUACUAAAUAAAACAGGGCUAAGAAUUAACCAUUAGUGCUUGGGUAAGUUCGGGUUAAUGAAUACAGAGCAUCUUAAUAUAGCCAGAUCUUGAAUGCAUUAACUUUUGAGCUAAAGACUGUUACACACUUCCAUUUGUUAUUCAACAUUUAUGAAAGUUGAAUCCACUUACAGAUUCCACUACUUCCAGGUGAUCCUAUUGACUAGCUUUUAGAAUUAAUUGGUUCAGAAGACAACAUAUCCAGAGUUAAGAUCAUUAGGUUUUGGCAAGCUUCUAAGACUUAAAGCCAGUAUUCGUUUCCUUUUGCCACCAAGCCCAUAAUUUCCUCAUCUCUCAGUAAGUCUUAUGUCUCAUAUAUAAAGUGACAAUUAAAGCACUUACUACUAAUAUUAUCUUGAACAUGAAUUGUGGGGCAAGGCUGAUAAUAAAGACCAAAAGCAGGUAUAGUUUAAUGUAUUUUAAUAGCAAACUUACAGGAACAGCACAGAAGACAGACAACAUUAAAAACAUGUACUUGCAUGUAGGACAACUCAGUUAGAAAAGUAUAGUGAAUGGAUGGAAUCUACUGUAUGAUAAAAAUGCUACAAACACCAUUUAGUUGCCGUCAAUAAGAAAUUUACUUGUUUUAAAAAAAUCCAAAUGCUGGCAUUGUCCAGAAAAAUUUAACAGGUUUAUUUAUAAUUAUUAUAAAGUUGAACCACUGAAACUUGUUCACUGAAACAUUUUAACUUGCAUUAAUGCUUUACGUCUCCGCAUUUAUAUUAAAAAUUCACACACAAAUGAAAAUGGAAAAACUGCCAAUACCUGAUUUCUGUCCCCUAUUUUUCCACUCGCAAUCAUAUACUUAGGUACCUUUUGACCCCAUGGAAAAAAAAUUAUCUAACGUUCAGAACUACCAAUAACAGGAAGAAGAGAAUUUUUUUUUUUUUUAAGAAUGAAAUGUUUCCCAUCAUAGUGGA